CUUCCUAGUCUCCCUCCAGCCCCCCUCUCGGACAUCGCAGUGGACAUGGGUCAGGAGUCUCUGGACAACACAGGACAGGAAACCUUUACAGACAUAAGCUGGAAUGUGAGGAGGGAGUCAGACCCCUUCAAUGUAAUCAAUAGCUCAGCGCACCAGUCA